CUUAUCAAGACAAACAGUGUAUUGUGACUGAUUAAACACUUCUUUUUACUCUACCGUCUCUAAUAUGUUAACCAUGAAUUCCAGAUCACUUCUUUGUUUCUGUGCUAUUCUAAUUUGUAAGUAUAUUUUGACUGUCAUUUUCAAUGAUUACUAAAAAAGAACAUUUACAGAUUAAAAGAACAAUUGAUCAAAAGCUUAAUAAAAUUAACGGUACCAAUUUUCUUGCACCAGAAGCGCAUUUCGACAAUAUAUGUCUCUUCAGUGAUGCUCGUGGCCAAAAUAUUUGAAAUCCAAAGCAUGUAUAAAUGAUUUCUCGGUAUCUAAAACAAAAUUGUUCGACGAUGAAACAAAAGAAAAAUACUCGGAAAAUUUGUUUCAGUAAGUCAAUUUUAAUAAAGCAAUUCUUCCUUGUUCAUUAUUUUAAGCAAACGAAUUUCUACUAUUUUUUUUUCUAAUGGCUUACUUAUGGUUCUGUUGAUUUUUUUUUAUUAAACAUUUGGAUUCUUCUUCAUCUCAAACUAAUAGAGAGAAAAAUAUUGUUUCAUACGUGCAACUUUAACUCAAAAAUGAAGGUAAAUUCAUAAAUUCGAGAACGUAGAAAAGUGAUGCAUAAAUUUGAGUUCACUAAUGGUUUGUCAAUACCGUUAGUUAUCAGAAGUAUUAUCAAAACAAGUUAAAAACUUGUACGUUGUAGGAUUUUGUUUUAAAGUAAAUCCUCAUGAUGAGAACACUUUGUUCAUUGUUUUAAAUAAACGAAGUUGUAACACACCGCGUACCCGAUUCAAACUUUGCGGAGGUAUCCAACUCUUAUGGAGCUUUACAAUUUUGUAAGAAUAGGUAUAUUAAAUCUUUAACAUUCCCAUAACUUCUCGGUUAAAAUCGGAUCCAGCUUUGACGUAACUAUCGUUACAUACUUUUCAUUAAUCGAUCUUUGGAAUUGGGAAAGGAACAUCUGGAAUCAUUUCUAACGGUAAUAUUGAAUAAUUGUAUAGUUCAUUCUAUACAUGCAUAGCAUUGCCUUUCACUGUUUUAUGCACUUACCUACCCAACCCCGUUAUUGUGUAUAAUUAUAUAUCAUUGUUUAUAAUACUUUGAUUAAUAUUGUCACUGUAAAAGCUUUUUAUUCAUGGAACCUUUUUUAGAAGUAUAUUUUUAAAGUACUGAAAACAAAUCUAAUUAGGGCCUAUUUUGAGAGCAUAUAAAAAGGUGUGGUAUGUCUGUAAAAAAAAUCAACUCUCCACAAGAAAACAACAAAGAGUAGAGUUCUUACCUUUUGCGCGUACUCAUUCAUCUCUGUCUUUUUAAUGAUCCGGUUUUGGGCGUUUAAGAUUAAGCGUUUAUAUCAAGAAAACGGUAAAAAGUGAACGAAAUUAUGACACGUUUACUUCAUUUACUAGCACUAAUACUGGUUCAGCAUCGCUGCUUUUAGAAUGUAACAUGCAGUCCUCGAGGAUAUCGAUAUAUAAUCAGUUCAGAAGUUCGUCGGUACUGAAAUGAUUUACAUCAUAUAUUUUCAAAUAUUCAAAAAUCAUCCAUAAACUAUAAAAGAUCCAAUUCCCUCAUUCAAGAUUGACCGAUUAUCAAUUUCGCUAUCCUGUUGCAUUCUUUUUGUGUCAUAUAUCUCAAAAUGGUACUUAGAAUAAUUGGAAUCCUGGCUUAUAAAUGUUUAGGUUAAUGCGUUCCUGAUGAGGGAAAUCGACAAAAACGCUUUUUCUUUUAUGAAAUUAGUACUGUUUACAUUUUCCAGAUAACGCUACUUUUAAAAUGUGCAUACAACCAUAUUAUAUGUAUAAAUAGAACAGCAAUACUAGAUUUGAAAUCAAAAUUUGAAAUGGACAUUUUGUACUUGAAAUAUAUUAAGGGCAUAUAGGUAUAUUUAUGAUAACUAUUGAUAACAUGUAAUAUCAGGCUAUAUUUUUUCCAGUUGUUAUACAUGCUGUAAACUCUGUUCCCUUGAGUUUAGACAAUAGUUUAAGGGAAAAAAGGGAAGCUGUCCCGUCCGUUAAAGCCGUCAACGUUGAUUUAGAAGAUGGUUUGAGAAAGAAACCGUGGUACCGUCUGUCAAGC
rnacentral:lncRNA from 1 species